rnacentral:rRNA from 1 species
UACGGGGGGGGUAAGCGUUGUUCGGAAUUACUGGGCGUAAAGGGCUCGUAGGCGGCCAACUAAGUCAUACGUGAAAUCCCUCAGCUUAACUGGGGAACUGCGUGUGAUACUGGAUGGCUUGGAUUUGGGAGAGGGAUGCGGAAUUCCAGGUGUAGCGGUGAAAUGCGUAGAUAUCUGGAGGAACACCGGUGGCGAAGGCGGCAUCCUGGACCGAUUCUGACGCUCAGGAGCGAAAGCGUGGGUAGCGAUCCGG